rnacentral:rRNA from 1 species
GACGAACGCUGGCGGCGUGCUUAACACAUGCAAGUCAAACGGAAAACAUAGCAAUAUGUUUUUAGUGGCGAACGGGUGAGUAACGCGUAGACAACCUGCCUCAAAGAUGGGGACAACACCGCGAAAGUGGUGCUAAUACCGAAUGUGCUAAUGAUGUCUCAUGAUGUUAUUAGGAAAGGUGGCCUCUUUACAAUGCUACCGCUUUGAGAUGGGUCUGCGUCUGAUUAGCUAGUUGGUGGGGUAAUGGCUCACCAAGGCGACGAUCAGUAGCCGGUCUGAGAGGAUGAACGGCCACACUGGGACUGAGACACGGCCCAGACUCCUACGGGAGGCAGCAGUGGGGAAUCUUCCGCAAUGGACGAAAGUCUGACGGAGCAACGCCGCGUGAGUGAAGAAGGCCUUCGGGUUGUAAAGCUCUGUCUUCGGGGACGAACGUGUUUAUGGUGAAUAAUCAUAGAUAAUGACGGUACCUGAGGAGGAAGCCACGGCUAACUACGUGCCAGCCGCCGCCGUAA